rnacentral:rRNA from 1 species
UACGUAGGUGGCGAGCGUUGUCCGGAUUUAUUGGGCGUAAAGCGCGCGCAGGUGGUGCGGUAAGUCUGCCGUGAAAUCUCCCGGCUCAACUGGGAGGGGGCGGUGGAGACUGCCGGACUGGAGGGACUCAGAGGCCGGUGGAAUUCCCGGUGUAGUGGUGAAAUGCGUAGAGAUCGGGAGGAACACCAGUGGCGAAGGCGGCCGGCUGGGGGUACCCUGACGCUGAGGCGCGAAAGCGUGGGGAGCGAACAGG